UCUGAGGAGUUUCCGGCGUGCAUCAUCGAUCAAGAAGUAAGGAACUAUGGAACCGUGAGAUUCCGUAUGUUAAAAUCCGUUGGUGCAACCACGAUGAUCGGAAAGCCACUUGGGAGCUCGAGAGCGCAAUACGGGAGCAUUACCCUCGUCUCUUUGAAGAGCUGAAUUAAGGUAUGGAUUUACGUUUUAAUUAAGUUAGUUUCGCAGACGAAACUAAUUUUAAGGGGUGGAGAAUGUAACGUAUCGAAACCCGGUAGAGCAUAGU
rnacentral:lncRNA from 1 species